AAUCCCAUCACAAACCAGACCACACAUCUGGACAUCAGCAAACUCUGUCACACAUGUUCAGAUCAGGGCUUACCUUUACUGUACAUCGUGCUGAUUUCUGCUGCUGCUGGAUCUCUGUUGAUCGUAGCUGCAGUCUUGUGGUGCUGCUUCUGCUGGAAACGUAGGAAAAUAGCUCAGAAAUUCACGAUCAACGAUAUAUACCAAACACUGCCUAAACCAAGACCAUGAAAAACGGUGUGUUUGGUGACUCAGUGUCAGUGAUGGAGGGAGAUUCUGUUACUCUAAACACUGAACUUACUGAUAUACACGAAGCUGAAAUAAUGUGGAAUUAUGGAGCUGAAAAAACUAUGUUUAUAGAGUCUGCUUAACAUCUGAUGUUCUUGACGGGAGAUUCAGAGACAGACUGAAGCUGGACCAUCAAACUGGAUCUCUGACCAUCACAAACAUCACAACUCAACACACUGGACUCUAUAAGUACAAAUAACUGGAGUGAAACUGUCAACAGAAGAAUUCAGUGUCAAAAAAAUAAAUCAUUCAGUUUCUGUCUGUGGUGAGUUAAGACAUAAAUUGUUAAGCAUAUUCCUGUUUUAUUAAAUUAAUAAUCUGAAUUUACUUCAGUUUAAAAAGGAAACAAGGGAUGUCACAUUUUUCUUUGUUUGUGGUAAUUCACCAUUAUGCCGUCAAUGCUGAUUAUUGAGAUUAACUUCUUAUAAUUCUGCUCAUUCAUGUUUCGGCCAAUGCCGAAUCUUACCAGAGAUACUUCACAAUAUAUUUCAUCAUCAUCAUCAUCAUCAUCAUCAUCAUCUUCAUCACAGCAGAAUUGUUCACUGGUGUGUUCAGUGGUGAAUGUGGGUCAUGUGACUCUCUCCUGGUACAAAGGAAACAGUUUAUUG